CUUGCUUCAGCCAAUAUAUACUAAGAUUGAAUGAUACAGAGAAGAUUGGCAUGGCCCCCGCACAAGGAUGACAUACAAAUUUGUGAAGCACUCCACAUUUUU
rfam:Myotis brandtii contig194350, whole genome shotgun sequence.